AAUGCAGGUUGUUUUAUCGCCUAAAUAGCAAUAUUUGGGAGGAAAGUCCGGGCAACAUAGGGUAAUCCGCCGCAUGAAAAUGCGGGCAUAUUUCCCGAAAGGAAAUUUUGACAGAGAGUGCCACAGAAACAAGGUAGCCCCGUAGGAUCUUUGGAUCCAACGGGGUGAUAGUGAAAAUGUGAGGUAAGAGCUCACAUGUGUAAGCAGUAAUGUUUGCACAGGGUAAACCUCGGGUGUUGAAAGGCCAAAUAGGUCACGGUUUUAGAGCGACCCGUUCUAUCCGCAAGGUAACCGUGACGGGUAGGUCGCAUAGAUAAAUGAUAGAUAUAUUCAAGUGGCAACAUUUGGAUGAAACAGAACCCGGCUUACAAACCUGCACCGCUU
rnacentral:RNase_P_RNA from 1 species